ensembl:lncRNA
CUCCAGACGACCACCUACAGAAUUUACAUCGCCUCCUGAUGAAUUUUAUCGCUUAUUAACGUGUACUAAUACCUAAAGUUGCAUUACAAAAGUAUUUCGAAGUGUUUUGUGAAAGUUUAUCGUCGACUUUUUUACUUUUAAAAAAUGACGUUACGUUAUGAAACGCUAUUUUUUUCAGUUUAUCACACAGUCUUCAUAGAUCGAUAUCUAGGCUAUAUAUGGACCGAUUUAAUCGAAAAAAAGACCCAAUAGUGAUUAUGGGACAUCAAGGAGUGCCAACAAAGAAGAUGGUCAAAGAAAUCCAAGGACUCCGGCAGGAAAACAAAUUUCUGACGCACUGAGAGAAGAAGUUAAGGUGCUAAGGUCCGGGUGGUAUCGGAUCACUGAGUGAAGAGGUGGUGCAGGUUGCUACCAUGCUAAGGACAUUUGCUGCUACUGGGCAAUCAGAUCCAAUAUAACACUUUUGCUGCGGCAUAUGGGAACAGUGGAUGAUCGAACUCUUGAGAUGGAUAACAAGAUGAAUACCUUGUUAGCCUAUCAACAGGCCAAUGGGAGCCAUUCAGCAGAACACUGAAAUCCAGGAUGCCAUGGACAAAGUGGUCCAGAUUCAAGUCACCCGUUACCUGAAAGGGGCCUCCGAUCAUGAAGGUGAGAGAAGACGGCGCACAGGGUGGAGAAAUUUGCUCCAGUGCGGGUCAACAUCAAGUCUGCCCUUAUUUUGAAGAUGUCAUCCAGAAACAGGUGUUUUAUACAACAUCCUUCUGUGUUCUCUUUAGGACUCUCUCUACAUUUGGCAAUCAUCUCUCUGCUUCCAAUUGUAUAAAAAAAGCCACAUGGCAGACCAAUCUGAACUCAUUUCUCGGCAUGUCCAGCUCAUCCAACACCUCAGCUAAUCAUGACUAGUGGGAAGGUUCCUGUAUUUUUCUAUGCUCGUAAUUUAGCAAUUGUGUUCAAAAUAUGCAUUUUGAUAAAACAAUAAAGAAAAUGAAUGCCUCACAUGUAGUAGUGAGGUUUGACAUUCAAACGGGUUUUAUUUUGUCCAUGAC